rnacentral:lncRNA from 1 species
UCAGAUCUUUGAACAGGGGACUUUGUAAACAUGAUUUGGGAGGCUUUCUUAGAUUCUAAGGACACAACAUUAAACCAUGGUGCAGAGAAGUCCUGUACUGGAAUUCUAAACUCACGUGAUUUGUCUCCCACAAACAUCAGUCCUCAGAAUGACUUAAUUAUGCAAAAUCUGAUCCUGUCAUUCUCCUGUUUAAGUUUCUUUCCUGAUUCUUCAUGGCCCGCAGCUGUACUUCUAAACUUAUUUCUAGCUAUAAAACCAUUUCUUUCACACUACAGUGUAUAUGGAAACCCAGUAUGGAAGACAGAAAUAAGAUGGCUGCUCUGGAUAUGGGUCGGGAUGCUUGUGGGAACCCACAGCCAUGCCCAGCUCCACCCAUUGCUUGGCUUCUAAACCCUGGGUUUUGUAGUCCAGACAAUCCAGGUGUCACCAGACUCCCCAGGGACAACUUGUGAAAACUGCUUAGAAAUAUAAGGAAUUAGACAUAUAAGAGAAGACUGAUGUGCUCUGUGGAACUGAGCACAGGUAAACCAGCUACAAGGCAGAAUGUACAAAUGGGCUAUCUCAAGUGAUGAUCUAGUCAGACUAGCGCCUUGCUAGCUGGCCAAGACAUUUGUAAAUGUAUUUUGAGUCUGAGUCAUUCCUGGGAGCAUGGGACUGGCAGGCAGAACCAGGCCUACCUUCAACAACUGCUUCUUACUCACAUGCUGCUGUCACAGGUCUGGGGUCUAAGCAGUUCACCAGCCUGACCAUGAAUAUAUUUCAACAAAGAAGAGGCUUUUAUUUUGGAUUCUGGCAC